rnacentral:rRNA from 1 species
UACAGAGGUCCCAAGCGUUGUUCGGAUUCACUGGGCGUAAAGGGUGCGUAGGUGGUGGGGUAAGUCGGAUGUGAAAUCUCCGAGCUUAACUCGGAAACUGCAUUGAAUACUAUCUUGCUUGAGGGUUGGAGGGGGGACUGGAAUUCUCGGUGUAGCAGUGAAAUGCGUAGAUAUCGAGAGGAACACCAGUGGCGAAGGCGAGUCCCUGGACAACUCCUGACACUGAGGCACGAAAGCUAGGGGAGCAAACAGG